rnacentral:rRNA from 1 species
AUAAAAAACCAACGCGGCUCGCCGCUCCCUUGGUGAUUCAUAAUAACUUCUCGAAUCGCAUGGCCUUGUGCUGGCGAUGCUUCAUUCAAAUAUCUGCCCUAUCAACUUUCGAUGGUGGGAUAGAGGCCUACCAUGGUUUCAACGGGUAACGGGGAAUAAGGGUUCGAUUCCGGAGAGGGAGCCUGAGAAACGGCUACCACAUCCAAGGAAGGCAGCAGGCGCGCAAAUUACCCAAUCCCGACACGGGGAGGUAGUGACAAUAAAUAACAAUAUAGGACUCUUUCGGGUCGUAUAAUUGCAAUGAGUACAAUUUAAAUCCCUUAACGAGGAACAAUUGGAGGGCAAGUCUGGUGCCAGCAGCCGCGGUAAUUCCAGCUCCAAUAGCGUAUAUUAAAGUUGUUGCAGUUAAAAAGCUCGUAGUUGAACUUCAGACCUGGCUGGGUGGUCCGCUUAACGGCGUGUACUGUCUGGCCGGGCCUUACCUCUUGGUGAGCCGGUGUGCCCUUUAUUGGUGUGCGUC